rnacentral:rRNA from 1 species
CGUGGGUAACCUGCCCAAGAGAUCGGGAUAACACCUGGAAACAGAUGCUAAUACCGGAUAACAACANAUGAUGCCUAUCAACUGUUUAAAAGAUGGUUCUGCUAUCACUCUUGGAUGGACCUGCGGUGCAUUAGCUAGUUGGUAGGGUAACGGCCUACCAAGGCGAUGAUGCAUAGCCGAGUUGAGAGACUGAUCGGCCACAUUGGGACUGAGACACGGCCCAAACUCCUACGGGAGGCAGCAGCC